rnacentral:rRNA from 1 species
UCGAGGGGUAUAGUAGCAAUACUAGAGACCGGCGCACGGGUGCGUAACGCGUAUGCAAUCUACCUUAUACAGAGGGAUAGCCCAGAGAAAUUUGGAUUAAUACCUCAUAGCAUAGCAACUUCGCAUGAAGUCACUAUUAAAGUUCCAACGGUAUAAGAUGAGCAUGCGUCCUAUUAGCUAGAUGGUAAGGUAACGGCUUACCAUGGCUACGAUAGGUAGGGGUCCUGAGAGGGAGAUCCCCCACACUGGUACUGAGACACGGACCAGACUCCUACGGGAGGCAGCAGUGAGGAAUAUUGGACAAUGGGCGCAAGCCUGAUCCAGCCAUGCCGCGUGCAGGAAGACGCAUCUAUGGUGUGUAAACUGCUUUUGUACGGGAAGAAACACUCCCUCGUGAGGGAGCUUGACGGUACCGUAAGAAUAAGGAUCGGCUAACUCCGUGCCAGCAGCCGCGGUAAUACGGAGGAUCCAAGCGUUAUCCGGAAUCAUUGGGUUUAAAGGGUCCGUAGGCGGUUUGGUAAGUCAGUGGUGAAAGCCCAUCGCUUAACGAUGGAACGGCCAUUGAUACUGCCAGACUUGAAUUACUGGGAAGUAACUAGAAUAUGUAGUGUAGCGGUGAAAUGCUUAGAUA